CUAUAGUGUGUGUUCUGGUCGAGAUUUCCACAGGAGAAAAAGGGGUUCUCUACAUUGAACCCUAGCAUACACAAAAUCAAUCAAAUUGAAGGCCAAAUCAGGCUCGAAUCAAAGGCACGAAUACAUACAAAUGAUCACCAAGUCGAGGGGAUCAAGAGUUUGACUCUUGACAAGCUAGAUGGAGGCUUGGGGAAAGAAGCGGGUCAAACGGAUCGUAUACGCGGAAAAGAGCAUAAUCCGGAUACAAGGUGAAGAUGGACCUAAUCCGAAUGAAGAUCAAGCGGCGAGCAAGAACCGAACACACGUUAAAUGAAGCUUCCGCGUCAAAUCUUGAUUUGUGUUGUUAUAAGUGAAUUAUGUAAACACUUAUAAAUUGUUUUUUUUGAAAUGUUGUAAUCAUUUGGGAAUGUUGGUAUAACAAGUUUUGUAAAGACACAUUUUAGCAUAAAAAUGUGUAUCUUAUUAUUAAAAUAUUAAUAAAACCAG
rnacentral:lncRNA from 1 species